AGCUCUGGCCGAACUUUUUCUAUCAACGUCGUCUCAUUUCGUUGCCUCCGCGAAAAUAACGAUUUUCUGGUGAAAUUUUGUGUGUUUGUGCGCGAAAAAUACUCGCAAACUUCACAAAAUCAAAUGUAAUUAUUCUUUUCAAUCAGUGCAAGCGCAUACAAACAGUAGAAGUAGGAAUCCGAGUUAUAAAAAUAAGGUAUAUCCUUAUAAGCUUAUUAAGUAUAUUGUAUAGUGAA